GGCGACCGGCGCACGGGUGAGUAACGCGUAUCCAACCUUCCGUACACUCAGGGAUAGCCUUCCGAAAGAAAGAUUAAUACCUGAUGGUAUGAUGAGAUUGCAUGAUAGCAUCAUUAAAGAUUUAUCGGUGUACGAUGGGGAUGCGUUCCAUUAGGUAGUAGGCGGGGUAACGGCCCACCUAGCCAACGAUGGAUAGGGGUUCUGAGAGGAAGGUCCCCCACAUUGGAACUGAGACACGGUCCAAACUCCUACGGGAGGCAGCAGUGAGGAAUAUUGGUCAAUGGACGAGAGUCUGAACCAGCCAAGUAGCGUGAAGGAUGAAGGUCCUACGGAUUGUAAACUUCUUUUAUAAGGGAAUAAACCCUCCCACGUGUGGGAGCUUGUAUGUACCUUAUGAAUAAGCAUCGGCUAACUCCGUGCCAGCAGCCGCGGUAAUACGGAGGAUGCGAGCGUUAUCCGGAUUUAUUGGGUUUAAAGGGAGCGCAGACGGGUCGUUAAGUCAGCUGUGAAAGUUUGGGGCUCAACCUUAAAAUUGCAGUUGAUACUGGCGUCCUUGAGUGCGGUUGAGGUGUGCGGAAUUCGUGGUGUAGCGGUGAAAUGCUUAGAUAUCACGAAGAACUCCGAUUGCGAAGGCAGCA
rnacentral:rRNA from 1 species